rnacentral:rRNA from 1 species
UACGGAGGGUGCAAGCAUUAAUCGGAUUUAUUGGGCGUAAAGGGCGCGUAGGCGGGGGGGCAAGUUAGAUGUGAAAUCCCGGGGCUCAACCCCGGACCCGCAUCUGAUACUUCUUCUCUUGAGGAUGAGCGGAGAAAAUGGAAUUCCACAUGUAGCGGUGAAAUGCGUAGAUAUGUGGAGGAACACCGGUGGCGAAGGCGAUUUUCCAGCUUAGACCUGACGCUGAGGCGCGAAAGCAAGGGGAGCAAACAGG